UGGGGAAUUUUGGACAAUGGGCGAAAGCCUGAUCCAGCAAUGCCGCGUGUGUGAAGAAGGCCUUCGGGUUGUAAAGCACUUUUGUCCGGAAAGAAAUCCUUGGCUCUAAUACAGUCGGGGGAUGACGGUACCGGAAGAAUAAGCACCGGCUAACUACGUGCCAGCAGCCGCGGUAAUACGUAGGGUGCAAGCGUUAAUCGGAAUUACUGGGCGUAAAGCGUGCGCAGGCGGUUUGCUAAGACCGAUGUGAAAUCCCCGGGCUCAACCUGGGAACUGCAUUGGUGACUGGGCAGGCUAGAGUAUGGCAGAGGGGGGUAGAAUUCCACGUGUAGCAGUGAAAUGCGUAGAGAUGUGGAGGAAUACCGAUGGCGAAGGCAGCCCCCUGGGCCAAUACUGACGCUCAUGCACGAAAGCGUGGGGAGCAAACAGGAUUAGAUACCCUGGUAGUCCACGCCCUAAACGAUGUCAACUAGUUGUUGGGGGAUUCAUUUCCUUAGUAACGUAGCUAACGCGUGAAGUUGACCGCCUGGGGAGUACGUCGCAAGAUUAAAACUCAAAGGAAUUG
rnacentral:rRNA from 1 species